AAGUAGUAAAGGGCGCACGGAGGAUGCCUUGGCACUAGGAGCCGAAGAAGGACGUGACAAACGACGAAAUGCUACGGGGAGCUGUAAGUAAGCAAAGAUCCGUAGAUAUCCGAAUGGGGGAACCCACCGCUUUUAAAAGGGCGGUACGCGAAAGCGAGGUAACGCAGGGAACUGAAACAUCUAAGUACCUGCAGGAAGAGAAAGAAAAAUCGAUUUCCUAAGUAGCGGCGAGCGAAAGGGAAAGAGCCCAAACCAAUGUGCAUGCAUAUUGGGGUUGUAGGACUCUCAGAAAAGCGUAUGACGAAGUAUAGUAGAACAAUUUGGAAAGAUAGACCGUAGAAGGUAAAAGUCCUGUAUACGAAAUGCUAAGUUGGCGUGAGAGAGCACCUGAGUACGGCGGAACACGAGGAAUUCCGUCGGAAUCUACCAGGACCAUCUGGUAAGGCUAAAUACUACCUAGUGACCGAUAGUGAACCAGUACCGUGAGGGAAAGGUGAAAAGAACCCCGGGAGGGGAGUGAAAGAGAACCUGAAACCGUGUGCUUACAAGUAGUCAGAGCCCUUUAGGGGGUGAUGGCGUGCCUUUUGUAGAAUGAACCGGCGAGUUACUUUAUCAUGCGAGGUUAAGUGGAAGACAUGGAGCCGAAGCGAAAGCGAGUCUUAAUAGGGCGAAAUAGUAUGAUGGAGUAGACCC
rnacentral:rRNA from 1 species